rnacentral:rRNA from 1 species
CCUACGGGCGGCUGCAGUGGGGAAUAUUGCGCAAUGGGGGAAACCCUGACGCAGCAACGCCGCGUGGAGGAAGAAGGUCUUCGGAUUGUAAACUCCUGUCUUCUGGGACGAUAAUGACGGUACCAGAGGAGGAAGCCACGGCUAACUACGUGCCAGCAGCCGCGGUAAUACGUAGGUGGCGAGCGUUGUCCGGAAUUACUGGGCGUAAAGGGCGCGUAGGCGGUUCUUUAAGUUAGAUGUGAAAACCCAGGGCUUAACUUUGGGAGUGCAUUUAAAACUGAAGGACUCGAGUGCAGGAGAGGUAAGUGGAAUUCCUAGUGUAGCGGUGAAAUGCGUAGAUAUUAGGAGGAACACCAGUGGCGAAGGCGACUUACUGGACUGUAACUGACGCUGAGGCGCGAAAGCGUGGGGAGCAAACAGGAUUAGAUACCCCAGUAGUC